CUAUUUCUAGAGAUAGAAGUUACUUCGGUACAUCGGUGACAGGUGGUGCAUGGUUGUCGUCAGCUCGUGUCGUGAGGUGUUGGGUUAAGUCCCGCAACGAGCGCAACCCCUAUUGUUAGUUGCCAUCAUUCAGUUGGGCACUCUAGCGAGACUGCCGGUAAUAAACCGGAGGAAGUGGGAUGACGUCAAAUCAUCAUGCCCCUUAUGACCUGGGCUACACACGUGCUACAAUGGUUGGUACAACGAGUUGCGAGUCGGUGACGGCGAGCUAAUCUCUUAAAGCCAAUCUCAGUUCGGAUUGUAGGCUGCAACUCGCCUACAUGAAGUCGGAAUCGCUAGUAAUCGCGGAUCAGCACGCCGCGGUGAAUACGUUCCCGGGCCUU
rnacentral:rRNA from 1 species